AUGAACAGUCAAAGCCGCAGCAAUACAUCGAGCUCAAUCGCUAGUGGCAGCCAGGUGAGUUGGCUCAGCUACCCUCUGCAGUGGGACUCGCCGGCGCCCGGCGGCGGCGGCGAGAAGCAGGGCGAGGCGGAGGACGACGACGAGGAGCGGUACGACGGCGGCGGCCGCGACAGGCGGUGGAAGCGGCAGGUGGUGGUGGCCGUGGUGGAGUGGGGGGAGGACAAGCUGCUGCUGCUCAGGCGGGUCAAGAAGCGGCUGGCGCUUUACCUCAUCGGCUGCCACUACAGCCGCCCCGCGCUGCCGUACAAGUCCGGCGGCUCAUGCACCACCGCCAUGCUCAAGUCCAUGUGA
rnacentral:rRNA from 1 species